rnacentral:rRNA from 1 species
UACGGAGGGGGCUAGCGUUGUUCGGAAUUACUGGGCGUAAAGCGCACGUAGGCGGCUUUGCAAGUCAGAGGUGAAAGCCCGGGGCUCAACCCCGGAAUUGCCUUUGAGACUGCAUCGCUAGAAUUGUGGAGAGGUAAGUGGAAUUCCGAGUGUAGAGGUGAAAUUCGUAGAUAUUCGGAAGAACACCAGUGGCGAAGGCGACUGACUGGACAAGUAUUGACGCUGAGGUGCGAAAGCGUGGGGAGCAAACAGG